rnacentral:tRNA from 1 species
GCACUCGUAGCUCAGUUGGAUAGAGCACCAGGCUACGAACUUGGGGGUCAGGGGUUCGAAUCCCUUCGAGUGCGCCA